rfam:TPA: Bos taurus chromosome 2, whole genome shotgun sequence.
UCCCUGAUAGCUCAGUUGGUAAAGAAUCUGCCUGCAAUGUGGUAGAUCCUGGUUCAAUUCCUUGGUCAGGGAA